rnacentral:misc_RNA from 1 species
AUUGAUUUAACUUGCACGUUCACACCACUUCUGUAAUAACAUAAUUAAUUCUGACUUUUAUUAGCUUCCUGCUCUAAGCAUAGUGAAAUGGGUCAUUAAUAUACAACGCUUCCAAUUAAACUAAAGUAAGAAUCAUUUGCUCAUAAAGAACAAAACAAUGAGCUGAAUUGCUCCCUUUUUCAGUUUCUGGCAUGCUGUUACAAAACUAAUUAAUUAUACUGCCCAAAAGUCUCUAAACCUCUAAAGAGAAUCUAAUAAGAAUUAUGGAGUCUAUAGUUAGUAUUAUUUAAGUGAGGUUUCAUGGCUUCCACUGUUCUAACAAAUUUGACGGCACCAUCGAUGGCCAAUAACCCAAAAAGGCGUUACGGUGCUAAUUCGAAUGGACUGGGAAUCGGGGAUAAUAGUUAUAAGGAUCUACUACCCCUCCUCGCAUGUGAAGUCCUCAGAGAGUUGAUAGAGGUAAAAUUGUCUUUGUGAAAAGAUGGUCCCUCGCGUUCACGGUAGUUUACCAAUUCUAUUAGCAACUUCCGUCUCCCCACUCCCUAACCUAAGGAACAAGUCAACCACCAUGUCCAUUGACAAUUCACAGCUAAAACGUCACCGUUCGUUAUAUGGUAAAUUUAACUAUAAUACUCUCUCCGUUCCUCAAUUUCUAUUUUAAAGUAAAAAAUUAGUUAUUUA